rnacentral:lncRNA from 1 species
ACCACAGCCCCCCAGGGCAACUCCUGCUGUGACCUGUACUAAGGCCUGACCCUCACAGUACAAAGGUGUUGAUAUUCAAAGGAACCUCCCAUACCCCAGUUUGUGCUUAUUGCAUUUUGUUCCAGUACUGGGCAUCACUGGGAAGAGAUGAACUCUUGUCUCUUUGCACCCUCCUUGCCUGUGUAUUAGCAGGAUUCUGCAAAAUUCCUCUGCUCCAGCCUCAGCAGACCCCGCUCCUGCAGCCACCCCACACAGUACAGGUAGUCCAGUCACUCCACCACCAUCACAGCACUUUGCUGAACUCACCCCAGCAUAUCUGAUUAUCCCAGGUAAUCCCAGCUGGAGCUGCAUGGCCUCCCCAUUGGUGCUCCCUGCCCAGCUUUGCCUGGUGCCAUGAGGACACAUCCCUGGCUUCUGCUUAGCUGGUGCCCAGCAGGAUACCAAGGUCCAUCCCUGCAGAGCUGCUUUCCAGCUGGUGGCACAACUUACGCUGGCAUUUCCUCAUGCCACUGUGAUCUUGGGACCACCUGGUUUUACUGCCCUGGUGAACACAUCCCUAUAAAUUAUGGAAACUACCCAGGAGGAAGCAACUCUGCAAGGAGUAGUACCUGACUGGUGCAUAUCACUGUACUCCAGGUGAAGGUCAGCCAUCAGGAAUGGUGACUGCAGAAGCCCGAAAGUUUUGUGAGCAGCAGGAGCCCCAGGAAACCCAGCAGGCAGGGGAGUGGAUCUGGCCUAGAAAGCUACCAAGUUGUGAAAUACAAAGUUGUGUUUCAUGUCAGGUAAAUAAAGGUAACCUGUGUAAUUUUAAUUGUGAAAUG